rnacentral:lncRNA from 1 species
CUCCUUGGGGUCCCACAGGUCCCUGGAGGGGCCCAAGUUGUGUGUCUGUGUCUGAUGGCAGCUCCUGUGUGCCCAGGGCGCUGCGGGCUCCAUCCUGAGGGGUCCGGGGAUCCCCGAGGACACUGGCACCAGCAUCUCCUUGGUCAUGGCCACCAUCCUCCGCAGCCUGCUGGGCCCCACGGUGGGGGCAGGACAGCGCGUCCUCCAGGGCAUGGAGAGGGCCCUGGACACGUCCCAGCAGUGGCUGAACCAUCACCUGCCCCUGGGCCAGAGGCAGGAAGAGCACAGGGCUGGAGAGGGGCCGGGUUCAGACUCGGCCGGGGGGGUCCAGCCCAGACACCCCCUUCCCCUCAGCUCCCUCCCCGAGGACGUCAGGAUCCAAACCCUGGCCCUGGUGCAGCAGCUCUGGCAGGACCGGCUGGACGCCCACCACCUCCUCACCCAGCUCCAGCACAUCCUCGACCUGAUGGAGACCGUACGAGAAAGCUUGGAGGGGCCACUCCAUGAGAGCCGGGAGCCGUGGGGGCACAGGAACGUGGUGCAGGCCACCCCCUGCCCACACUUGGCCUGUCCCCGCUGCCGGGCGAGGCUGCCCAGGGGGUCUGGGACCCCCACGGUGCCACGGGUGCUGGCCGUGGGUCGGAUGCUGGUGCAGCGGGUGCAGGACACCGUGGUGCAGGCAGCGUGGGGAGCCCAGCGUGGCGUGGCCAAGCUCUGCCGUGCCAUCAGCAGUGCCAGGUCCCUGCCAGAGCUGCUGGGGACCGUGGUGGCCCGAGGACGCGAGGUGGUGGCCCAAGCUUGGGACACUCUGGUGGUUUUUGUGCUCCAGCACCUGACUUUGCUGCGGUUGGAGGGUGCCGGACGAGCAACCCCACGCAUCGCCCCACAGCACCCCCAAAAGUAAGGGUGCCCCACAUCCAACUGGGUCUGAACCCCCCCACCCCAUCCCGGGUGGCACUAAAAUGGCUCUGCCCACGUUCAUGUCCGUGUCUUGGUGUUAUUCUGUCCCCCCC